UACGAAGGGGCUAGCGUUGCUCGGAAUCACUGGGCGUAAAGGGUGCGUAGGCGGGUUUUUAAGUCAGGGUGAAAUCCUGGAGCUCAACUCCAGAACUGCCUUUGAUACUGAAGAUCUUGAGUCCGGGAGAGGUGAGUGGAACUGCGAGUGUAGAGGUGAAAUUCGUAGAUAUUCGCAAGAACACCAGUGGCGAAGGCGGCUCACUGGCCCGUAUACGUGACGCUGAGGCACGAAAGCGUGGGGGAAGCAAACAGGGAUUA
rnacentral:rRNA from 1 species